rnacentral:SRP_RNA from 1 species
UUGUGCUAGACGGGGAGUUAGCGGUGCCCUGAACUCGCAAGCCGCUUCAGCGAGGUCGAAUUCCCAGCCUGAGGCCUGAGGGCCCUGAAAUGACCAAGAUGAGUCGUAUUGAUGGCCAGGUCUCUAUGCGACGGUGACUGUGUGAACCCCGCCAGGUCCGGAAGGAAGCAACGGUAAGCAUUUGACGCCGGGUGCCGUAGAAUAGCCGGGCAGGAGCGACGAGCCAAGGUAUCAUCAGUUGCCUGAUUGUCGAAGGCGGGUGCACAG